rnacentral:rRNA from 1 species
UGGGGAAUAUUGCACAAUGGGCGAAAGCCUGAUGCAGCAACGCCGCGUGAGUGAUGAAGGCCUUCGGGUUGUAAAGCUCUGUCUUUUGGGACGAUAAUGACGGUACCAAAGGAGGAAGCCACGGCUAACUACGUGCCAGCAGCCGCGGUAAUACGUAGGUGGCAAGCGUUGUCCGGAUUUACUGGGCGUAAAGGAUGCGUAGGCGGAUUUUUAAGUGAGAUGUGAAAACCCUAAGCUUAACUUGGGGACUGCAUUUCAUACUGGAAAUCUAGAGUGCGGGAGAGGAGAAUGGAAUUCCUAGUGUAGCGGUGAAAUGCGUAGAGAUUAGGAGGAACACCAGUGGCGAAGGCGAUUCUCUGGACCGUAACUGACGCUGAGGCAUGAAAGCGUGGGUAGCAAACAGGAUUAGAUACCCUGGUAGUCCACGCCGUAAACGAUGAGUACUAGGUGUAGGAGGUAUCGACCCCUUCUGUGCCGCAGUUAACACAAUAAGUACUCCGCCUGGGAAGUACGAUCGCAAGAUUAAAACUUAAAUGAAUUGACGGGGGUCAUAGCUGUUUU